UGCUGAUAACACACCAAUGUUUUAGUUGUUGCUAUGUAAUGCUUACCCUGAUCAAAGACUUUUCACUCUCAUGCUCUGCCAGUGAGGAGGGGCACAAGAAGCCAGGAGGAAGCAGAGACAGGACACCUCACCCAAACUAGCCAAAGGGGUAUUCCAUACCACAGUACAUCAUGCCCAGUAUAUAAACUGGGGAGAGUUACCCAGAAGGGCAGAUCACUGCUCGGAUUGGACUGGGCAUCAGUCAGCAGGUGAAAUACGAUUGUAUUGUGCAUCACUUAUAUUUUCUGAGCUUUCAUUUUUUUCUCUUAUUGUUUCCUAUUAUAAUUAUUGGUAUUCUUUCUACUAUCACUAUAUUUUACUCUGUUUUAGUUACUGGACUGUUCUUAUCUCAACCAAUGGGAUUUACAUUCUUUCAAUUCUCUCCACCCAGAGGAGGGGAGGGAGGGUGUGAGCAAGCGGCUGCAUGGUGCUGAGUUACCAGCUGGGUCUAAACCACAUUUCCCUUCCCUUUUCUCUAUUAGAGAAAUAGAGAAACUUGGAUUUUUUUAUAUUUUUUAAGAGGCUUUUUAUCUAUACUUUGAAAUGGAGAGAGUGUUUUCACAUUAAACAC